CGACCCUGCCUUCGGGCGGGGGCUCCGGGUGGACACUUCAAACUCUUGCGUAACUUUGCAGUCUGAGUAAACUUAAUUAAUAAAUUAAAACUUUUAACAACGGAUCUCUUGGUUCUGGCAUCGAUGAAGAACGCAGCGAAAUGCGAUAAGUAAUGUGAAUUGCAGAAUUCAGUGAAUCAUCGAAUCUUUGAACGCACCUUGCGCCCGUUGGUAUUCCGACGGGCAUGCCUGUUUGAGUGUCGUGAACAACCUCAACCUUGAUUGGUUUUACCAUCAAGGUUUGGACUUGGGUGUUGCUGCUGCAAAGUGGCUCGCCUUAAAACUAUUAGCUGGACUUGUCUAUGACUUGGUUCGACUCGAUGUAAUAAGUAUUCAUCGGGGACAAGGUAACACCUGGCCAAGGCUUGAUGCCGUCUGCUUCUAAUCAUGUUCUCACUAUGAGACGCUACUUUACUGUGUGGCCUCAAAUCAGGUAGGAUUACCCGCUGAACUUAAGCAUAUCAAUAAGCGGAGGAAUCUUGCUGAAAAACUCGAGCCAUCCGGAAGAUCUGGCGGCCGCUCUCCCUAUAGUGAGUCGUAUUACGCCGGAUGGAUAUGGUGUUCAGGCACAAGUGUUAAAGCAGUUGAUUUUAUUCACUAUGAUGAAAAAAACAAUGAAUGGAACCUGCUCCAAGUUAAAAAAUAGAGAUAAUACCGAAAAC
rnacentral:rRNA from 1 species